rnacentral:rRNA from 1 species
UACGGGGGGGGCAAGCGUUGUCCGGAUUUAUUGGGCGUAAAGAGCUCGUAGGUGGUUCGGUAAGUCGGAUGUGAAAUCUCCAGGCUCAACCUGGAGGGGUCAUUCGAUACUGCCGUGACUAGAGUUCGGUAGGGGAGUGUGGAAUUCCUGGUGGAGCGGUGAAAUGCGCAGAUAUCAGGAGGAACACCCGUAGCGAAGGCGGCACUCUGGGCCGAUACUGACACUGAGGAGCGAAAGCGUGGGGAGCGAACAGG